GAAAUCGAGGUGGGGGAAAAGGAGAAGACGGUAAUAGACAUUAAUGAAGGAGAAGAACUAUUAUAUAAUUACGGACUAAAGUCUUAUCCAUGGAAUUCUCAGGACCAAUAUGAGAUAAAUAGUGACUAUUUAUCUGGAGUUAAGCACAAUGAGCCAAAAUUAUCCAGUUUAGCAAGAAAUGGCAGUUUAUUAGAAGGAAUGAACUUCCUACUAGUUGGAUUUACUUCAACUUAGAGGUUAAGGAUUUGAUUACUAUUCAGUCCCAGGAGAUGCCAAUUAGCAGUGAGUCCAUCAUCAUCAUUCCAGAUGGAACAAAUGCGGAAGUUAAGGCAUGUCUCUUGCAAGUCCAAAAACUGAGACAUUUACCAGUCCAGGUCGCGGAGUCGUUUCUCGCCUAUGACAGCAGCAUUCAUUGAAAAGGGAACACGGACUAUCGUACCAAAAUACAGACCGAGAAAAAAUGAAGAAAAAAGUACCUGCCAUGUGCACACUGUUUGGCUGUUGUUGUAGCUACAGACUUAUGGAAGCACCAAAAGUCAUGUCCAGCAAACAAAUCUCAACAAAAUUUAAAAUAUCCUGUAUGUGAAGGACGUGUGCUGUUACCCUGUGACUCUGAAUUUCAAAAAAACUACAUCAAAUUGUUUAAAAAAGUUCUUGCUAUCUCCUUUGUAUUUUAAUACAUAUCUAACAUGUAAUGAUAAUAAAUUAUCAUAGAAAGGUUAAUUUAUCUUCGUAAAUGCACAGUUUAUACAAAGACCUUAUCUUGUCGAUUAAAGUUUUUAAAGUUGCUUUCAUAAUAAAUUUUUCGAUUAAAUGUUAACAUUAAAAAAUAAUCCUUAUAUUCAUUAUUUGAAGUAAUAAAUAUUAAAUCUAUUUAUCUUAUACAUUACAAACUGAUAUUUAUAUCCCC